GACGAACGCUGGCGGCGUGCUUAACACAUGCAAGUCGAACGGAAAGGCCUGCUUUCCCUUGUGGAUUGCGGGUGCUCGAGUGGCGAACGGGUGAGUAACACGUGAGUGAUCUGCCCCCAACUUGGGUAUAAGCCUGGGAAACUGGGUCUAAUUCCCGAUAGGACUGCAGGGUGGUGCCUGUGGUGGAAAACGAUUUUCUAGUGGUUGGGGAUGAGCUCGCGGCCUAUCAGCUUGUUGGUGGGGUAAUGGCCUACCAAGGCGGCGACGGGUAGCCGGCCUGGGGGGGUGGACGCCCACAUGGGGCCGGGCUGCCGGCCCGGCACCUACGGGGGGGCAGCGUGGGGGAAUAUAGCACAGGGGGCGGAAGCGUGAUGCGGCGACGCCGGGGGGGGGGGACGGGCCUUGGGUUUGUAACCUCCUUCGGCCCGGGAGAAACCCCCGGGGUGGGAGGGGUGGUGACGGUAGUGGAAAAAAAAGCCCCGGCUAACUACGUG
rnacentral:rRNA from 1 species